rnacentral:tRNA from 1 species
AAAUAAGAAGCAAAAUUUUGCAUUUAAUUUCGACUUAAAAUUUAGAGUUUAAUUAAUACUCCUUAUUUA